CAUGGUUCGGGAAGGAAAAAGUGCGGCGAACGGGGGGACCCAAAGUGUUUUCUGAACUAGUAGCACAAUUCGCAGCGCUGCGACCAGAAGACACUCGUAGCAGCAUCCAGCCUGGGAGUUACGAGUUGGAAGUUUCUUUGGAAUGUGCUCCUUGGGAAAAUGCUUAGCAGUUAUCUUGAAAACUCUGGUUGUUUGGUCACUUAAGUCGUUCCAUUUUCACCAGCCCAAACUUCGUUAGCAAGAUGUCAUCAAAGUUGCUGUGGUGUGUUUAAUUUCAGAGGCACAACCUUAAAAGAAAGUUAGAUAGCAGAUCCUUUCGGGCUACAAUCUCCACUUGAGCUCGUGUGGCUUUUACAGUGUAGAUGUAUUUUAAAAAAUUAUGUUAAGGAAUGUAGGAAUUGCACUUUUUGCCCCCCCCAAAUUUUUUUUUUUUAGCACGGUAUUAAAUAAAACAUUCUUUGAAAACAGCAUCCCUGAAAAUUUCCUGAGGUAAUCCCAUCAGUUGCUUAAGAAGUAUUUUAGUUUCUAUUCAUUUAAUAACUCUGGGCUCUUCUGGGCUGGUUCACGGUAGCAUUAUGAUCGAGUUGUAUUUCCUCUUUCAGAGCUCUCCUUUGCAGUAAAAAACUUGUGCGCUGCUUGCAUUUCUCCAGUACAGUCUUGGAGUAGCAGCAUCUGAAAAUCAGUUUAUAAUGAAUGGGUCCAAAUUGAGUUAUAUUGCCGCAGCAAUGCCUUCAGAUUUGCAGAAGACACAGCUGUUCAGCUUGUGCAAAUAUUUCUGUGGCCACUGGCAUGUUUCUACUAAUGGUCUAAAAAUUUUAUUUCUCCUGUUGAAACAAAACUACUUGAAUUUUGUGGCUUCAGUUUUAACACAAUUCCUAGAAUAUUAAUGUAGGCGUGAGAGAAACGACUUUUAAAAAAUCCGCCAUAAGGAGAUUCUUGUCUAGUUUAAAUAAAAUUUGUUAAAUGGUUGGGGGGGGGUAGUAAAUAAGUCUCAUGAGACAUAAAAGUCACUAAUGCUUUUUUUUUAAUUGGUAAAGAAUUGAGUGUGAUGUUUAUUUUGUCAAAUCACCUUGUCUGAAGUAAGAAAUGUGGAAACAACCAUGAUCUAAAUGCCCUUUUACUGCAGAACAGAUCUCCUUUGCUUCAUUAAUCUUGCUGUGUUUGAGUGAAAAGUCUUUAAUCAUGUGAAACAUAGAUCAUACCAGGCAAGUUCAGCUUUGAGGCUUGUCUUCUGAAACUGGUAACUUUUUGAAUGGCCUUGCAGCUUUGCUGUUGUUGAAGGAGUGUAUUACAGAUUGUGUUUUCUAUAGAGGGAUAAAUUACUAACACAAGACUUAACAGAAAGGCUUGUCCCAACUAUAUACAUUCAGCUCUUUCCAAGAUGGAGCCCAGAGAAUGACCUUUUUGGGUAAUUCUGUUAUUGGAUGGUCACAUAUUUACUUGAUGCACUGCUAAAUCACAACAAAGUUUAUCUGAGAGGAUUUUUCCUUCUUGGCCACUUAUUUUCCCCUUCCUUUCCAACAUUGAUCCUCCCAAGGCACGAGGGCUCGCUCUUUUCCAAAUCUAGAACAAAAAAAGUUUUUAAUAGCUCCAAUUUAAAUCAUUUAAAGAGUAAAAUUCAUGAUCAUACUUAUGUCAAGUUCCCUUGGUUCCAUGUUCAUCACGUCACGUUAUCGGGCAAGAGUCUAUUAGCGUGGGGGCCAAGGAAGGGAUCAUCAUGCAGCACAUUAAACGAGGUACAACCUUGUCUCCCAUAACUACUAGUCUGAGACAGAGAUCUUAAGGAUAUAUAUUAAGCAAAUAAAGGAUUAAAGGAAUCACAUUACGUGCAAUCAAAGGAGUGAGGGCAUUGGGUUAGAUGGGAAAGUAGGGAGACUCAACCUCACUGUAGUGAGGGGAUGUGUUUUUGAGGCUCCCCGGAGAAAAUUGGACCAGGUGGAGCAAGGUGUGUUUUCUGUUUCUAUGAUAAACUUUGAGUGACGGGAACUCUGUGCAUGUAAGGAGGAGCAGGAGGAGGCCGGAUGGCCUAAGAAACCAGAAUGAUUUGGACUGCCACCACGCAGUACGUGUCUGUGGGGACUGGCCUGGGGAGCCAUUGGUGUCCAUUGCGUGAGUCUGGGGGGGCUCACAUUGGGGGGAGAGAACAGUACUCCUGCCAUUGGUGAGCUUACAGGCCAGGGUACUCCCUACAGGGCACUUACAGUCUAGCAGGGGGAGUGUGGAUGUGGAUAAAGCAUGCCAGAGAGGUAAGGUGGCAUCUCUGAGUGAUAAAUGUCAUUACCACUGAUGACAGACAGGAGAGGCUGGGAAGGCUUCUGAGGAGAGUUUGGAGAGGGGAUUCGGUACUAGAGAAUGUGCCCCAAAGGAAGGUAGCAAGAGGAAGAAGGAAAAAUAGGACUUCUGACCUCACCCACACCUCAGCUCUGGAGUGGCUCUGGAUUUAACAUCAGGAGAUUGUUGUUGAAGUAGCAUUUUCUUGUUUUACGUCGAAGGCUUUCUCACAAGUGCAGUCUUCCUUCACUUGGCAUCCAUUAUAAGAGGUAGGACUGUGUGUUUCCAGUAUAUAGUUAAUUGUGUGUUUUGGAAACUUCUUUAUUUAAUAUGUUCAGAUUAAAACAGCAUAUUAGUGUUUUUCAACAGCAGGGAUUCGUGAUUUAACAUUGAAGGAGAAGUAAAUAUCCGGGCAAGCGGUGGACUUUUUUUUUUUGGUCAGCUUUAUUGAAGCCACAUUUACAUACAACAGAUAGACUAGUUAAAGUUUUUAAAGACUGUCUUCUGAAAACUGAACACAGAUCUAUUUCAUCCGAUCCUGUUUAAGUGUCUCUAAGCAGUUGUGAUAUACUUUAUAAAGUGAAUCCCUUCAAAUGCCAUAGGAAACCAUAUUUAAAGAAAGUUUGGGGUAAAUAUGGUUAUCAACCAAAAUACCUUUCACAACAAAAUGACGAUCUGUUAUGCAUGUGUCGUGUUUUACUUAUCAGAGUGCUUUUCUCUCCAUCCCCUCAGCUUGGUCCUCACAGCAUCCUGUGAGGUAGGGUGGGAAGAUACUCUAACCGCCCAUUCUAGGUAAGGAACCAGAUGAGAGAGGUGAUCCGCCCAAAACCAGAACCAAACCUAGGUGGUUAAAGUAAAUAAUUUGUGUAUAUUCGUUUUACAAAUCUAUGUCCAUAAACCGGAAAUUUGCUUGAAUCAUGGAUUUAGGAGCUUGCUGUACUUGGCAAGUUUCAAUAGCGUAACUCCAGCAGGUGAAGUAAAUUUGGGGGGGGCGGAGUCUGCUACCAGCUCUGGGGGGAAGCAGAAUGUGUUCUUCCUACUGGGGGUGCAGGGCACUGGCUCCCUCUUCCCUCUGGUUCUGGUGCAGCAGUUUGGUCUCACCUUCCUGCGGAUGGCAGUGGAAAAUUGAGGACCAGUCAAGUUUUUUCAUCUCUUCAUUGAGUUCUGGCUAAAUAGGAAACAAACUUUUGUAGAGACUUCUAGGGCCAGGGCUUUUCAUGACUUGACUUGACUUUUACACGUGUUGGAAAAGUAGGGACUUUUGGAUAACCUAGGGCUCCGUUGAAGUUGCUCAGGGAUGAUGAUGGGUAAGUACGAGCCCCACCAGGGGUGCCUCUCGGUGCAGCAGACCACCGAGAAUCACUCCUGUGGGACAUUCGAGUGUGAUCCCGUAACUCUUUUUUUUUUUUUUAAGAUUUUAUUUAUUUAUUUGACAGAGAGAGAGGGAACACAAGCAGGGGAGUGGGAGAGUGAGAAGCAGGCUUCCCUCGGAGCAGGGAGCCGGAUGCGGGGCUUGAUCCCAGGACCCUGAGAUCACGACCCGAGCGGAAGGCAGUUGCUUAAGCGACUGAGCCACCCAGGUGCCCCGAUCCCGUAACUCUUAAACCUUAUGGAGACAACCUGUAAAGGGACGGAGGAGCUUGUGCUUACACCAGUAGCGGUGUUUUUACAACUUGUAACUAGUGCCACUGUGGCUCUGAGACAAAGUACGUGAUUACUUGGGGCCAUGUAAGUGCUGACCUUGUGUUUUUACUUAGUGUAUUUGAAAACAAAAGUUAAAAAUGAUUUUGCCAAAGUAUGCCUUCCCUGGUUAGGAUGAAAUGUAUCUUACUGUGAGCUGCUCAAGAUGAGCAAAACUUGUGUUAAGCCAGUUGAGUUCUUGGGUGCCAUUAGUCAGGACACCACCUCUUCCAUCUUAAUUCAAGCCAGCAUUCCGAGUAUGUUCCAAGAAAACUAGAAGACAUGCAAAGAAGCAUUUCUUAGAAGAGGUUUUGUGCUCACACGAGGCUGGGAAUAGCUGAGGAGCUUUACUGCAAGGCCUUUCCAGAGCCCUAGCAUGCUGCCGGGCUCUGAGCCUCAGGGCGCCGGGCUGUGGUUUGCACCAUUCCCAAACCUUUUUUUUGUAAUACAAGGGUUGACAGACUUUCUGUAAAGGGCCCAAGAUCAUAUUUUUGGCUUUCCAGGCCGUAUGGUCUCUGUCAUACUGAACACUGCCAUUUCAGCAGGGAAACAGCCCUGGACGUAAGUACACAAAUGGGCGCAGCUAUGUGCCAGUAUACUAGUAACUUUGUCAGAGCCAGGAGUUGGCUCUUGGGCCACAGUGUGGGACCCUGAUGUAAUGUGGGAUUCGUGAUCUGAGGAUCCUUGGUUUUCUCUUCUGAAAAGUGAAUGUGCCCCAUGGUCCCGGCUCCUUGGACCAGAGACCUGUUUGUUGAUGGAUCUGUCAGAGACAGUCACCAUGCGCAUGCGUCCACGUAGGCCCACAAGCAGGCAGAUCGGUUGCGGUGUAACACACUCAGUGGGGAUGUAGCCAAGAAUUCUGUAGUCAAGACUAUUGAUUUUUGUCUCCAUUUUCAAUUAUAUGUCUUUGUAAUAGGAACAGGACCAUGAAAUUUUAAAAUUGCAAAAACUUAGGUGGUGCGGUGUAUUCUGAAGAUUAACUAACUUGAAGCAUAUUUCAGGGACUGUUCCUGCAGCAAAUGAAUAGGUGAUUCUGGUUCUUUACCACAUGUAUAAUAACAAUUUAGUCUGAAGUACCUAGGCAGUAGCAGUAUACAGAGUAGCCACAAGCCCGGUGGGCCCUCUGCACUCCUGUACUCCGGUGCCUCCCCUGCUGAGCCAGAACGAGGCAUCCGGCAGCUGGGGAAGUCUGCUGGGGUCUGUGCCUUCUGUAGUGUUAAGAAAAGCACUCUGGCCAGGGCACCUGGGUGGCUCCGUCGUUGGGCAUCUGCCUUCGGCUCAGGUCGUGAUCCCGGGGUCCUGGGAUCGAGCCCCGCAUCUGGCUCCCUGCUCAGCAGGAAGCCUAUUUCUCCCUCUCCUGCUCCCCCUGCUUGUGUUCCCUCUCUCACUGUGUCUCUCUAUGUCAAAUAAAUAAAUAAAAUCUUUAAAAAAAAAGAAAAAGAAAAGAAAGGCACUCUGGCCACUCACAGCAGUUUCGUCUCCGUGAGUGUCAUCGUGUAUGGCCUGUGGGUAUGAUCUGUGGCCCCUGGCUCGCAUUGAAGUCUUCUAGUUGCCCCAGACUGUGUCUCCUAAGCUCUCAAACUCCCAGCCAUCCCCUCUGAUUUUCAGCACACGUGCCUGCUGUUCCCUGGCCCACUCUUAGGCCUUUGCCUAGUGGUGCAUCCCUCCUUAGAAAUGCUAUCCUACGCUUGAUGGGCUCCUCGGGGCUGGUGUGGUUGUCCACGGCUCCUGCAUUAACUGGGGGAGGGGUGCCACACUUGUCCAGCUCAGUCUUAAACUUCGCUUUCAGGGAAAUUCUCACAUUGCAGCACAUCACUGAUGGAGAAAUGUAAUCCCUUGUGGCAGUGCCUUUUGGGGGGCUUUUGCACAUUCGGCUUUCUGUGGGGACUGUGCUCUGCUGUCGGGAGUGCUGAGAUGGAGCCACACGCAGGGUCCUGUGGGAGUAUGGCAGAGGUUGCCCAGCUCCAGCCUGGACUUGGUGAGCCGUGAAUCACUCUGAUUUGCAGGAGAGCUCUUUAGAUGCAGGGAACGGGUGCAGGAAAGGCACGCAAGUAAGCAGAAGUAACUCCUUUUCCCCCCAGGAUUUUAGACAAUAUAGGGAAUGACUGUUGCUGACGUUGAAAAACUGCCUUCAGGGUGUUUCUGGUUCUAAAUUUGGGAAGCAAGGCUAUCUCUGAGCUAUAUGUCUAAAAGUUGAAUUCCUUUCUUUUUAAACCUUCCCCUUAGAAAGACAUCAUCCCAUGUGACAUUUCCCCCCGUGUUUCAUUUCCAUUAAUCAAAAGAAUGUUUAGUGGAACCAUCACUAAGAAUAGUAAAAUCUAAUGGUGAAAAAAAUUUCACCUGAUUAUAUCUGACUUUCCUGUUUCUAGGUGUCCUAUCUGCUACUGUUUAAAAAUCUCUUAAUUUGCCCAUCUUUCUAAUGCACCUGUGCCACAGCGUAGACAGUAGGUGGUUCUUAACAGUGGUAAGCUGUUUAAUGGGGUUGUACAGUUCUGCUGUGAAGCAGAUUCUAUUUAUUAUUUCAAAAGCUUCCCUUUGCACUACCACCCAAAUAUUUUGGAUUUUUUUAACCAAAACUGUACCAUUUAUACAUGUUUUAACUUUGUAGUUAGAAUAACCAAUGAAAUAGCAAAAAACAAAAACAAACAAAACCUCCCCCCCCCAAAAAAACUCUUGUUAUGAGAGGCUUGUACAAUAUUUAAAUAAAGGACAUUUCAGUAUUUGAUUACAAACCAAAUGACGACACUCAGAACUAUAGAAAUCUAUCAAAUAAUUAGGGUUUGCUUUGACAAUUACGGGCUAUAAAAGCUUGACCCAGUUCCUUUGGAUUAAAAUAUUUUGAGUAUUUGUCACCUGAUUAAAAGUAGAACCUUCUACCCAUGACUCAGAGUUGAAGGAAAUGUCAGAGCUUUUUAUACUGAGAGGCGGGCAGUGCGAUAGUAAGGAAGGAGCCCUGGCCUCCGCUCGGAGUGGACGCUGAAUCUCGGCUCUCAGCUUGUCAGUUCUGUGACUUGGGCCAGUGACUUUACAUUUGAGCUUGGGUAGGUGAGGGUGGCGAUCUUUUUCUCCAGGGGAAAAAAAUCCCUUUUUCCGUUAUCACUUUGACUCACUUUGUAUAUUGGGCUACUGCGGUUACUGGUAUGUAGCAGGUUGCAGCAGCUAUUACUGGUCUUUAAUUGUUUGGGAAAACAUUAGUCGUGCGCUUCCUUGUGGGCUGGUGGGGAUUGGGAUGAUGUAGGUGAAGAGUCUGACCCAGAACCGCGUCCAUGGAGUUUCUCGCUGAAUAAAUGGGAUGAUGCCGCCCCUGCCUAGUUCUCUUCCUGCACCAGGGCUGGUGUUGAGUGUUGGCUCUAUCAACUUGCAAAAGAAUGAAUUAGAAGCCGAGAUUCAGGAAUCCUGCAAACCAGGUGAUAGUUUGACACACUUUACUCAGUCUGUGUUUGAAGUUAAAAACUAUUCUUUAUUGGAAAAUGGAAGUCUAAAUGAAAUUGUUUUUCAACAAGAAGUUGAUUUAGGUUAGGACUUAGUGAAAAAAGAAAAGCAAGUAUGGAGAAAUCAUAAAAACAGGCUUUUUCUAAAACAGGAGAAAUGGCCUUGGGAUCACUGUCCAGUUUAGUCAGGUUGAUUAGACGAAAGAAGUGUCAGUGAAGUUCACUUUCUCCCUUGGUUCAGCUGCCACUGCUCUGGAAAGGGGCAGAGUGAGCUUUCUGCUGUAUUGUGGGGGGUUUUCUCUCCUACAGAUUCUGUCCUGGACAUGGUGGACAAAGAGCUUUUCCUCCUAAUUUGUGUGUGUCUUUACAUUAAAUCUUAUUUACAUUUUAUUUAGUAAACAACUUUCACUGAAAAUGACUAAAAGGCAUGAAGUACUGAUAGAUUUUCUAUCCUGUUUUUGUUGUGCCUCUACUAAUAAUGGGGUUGGGUUCUGUUUGAAGAAGAGCACAGUCUGCCCAGGGUUGAACUUCUCUUUAAAAAUCUGUAAGAGAAUCAUUUGAAUAACUGGGAGAUAAUUGGCUAUUUUAGCUUGCACUGGUGACUUUCUCAGUCUUUGGAAGUGUAAGGAAAAAUUGAUUUCUUCUCCACAGUAAGAGAGUAGAUUGGGACGUUUCCUUUGUUUGAAAUGCCCGUGUUCUCAUGGUAAUUUGAGUGAGCACAGUCCAGUAGAACUUUAUGUGAUGGUGCCAGGUUCUGUAUCUGCACGCCCAGUACUGGAAUCACCAGCAAAUUGUUACUAAUGUAAUUCAGGAACUAAAUUUCAGAUUUUAUUUAAUUUUAAUUAAUGUACAUGUCAACAGCGGCCUCUGGCUAGUAACUGCUGUGUGGUACAGCACAGCCCUGAGUGCAUUUACUUAUGUCAUUUGUUCAUAGUUUUAAGGUAUUUAUGACCUAGAGGACAAAAGUUCCUUCCAAGGGACCCUCUUCUAAAGACACUUUCAAAAGUAUUUGUUGCUUUAGAUGUAGGAUUUUUUUACCCAUUUAGACAAUAUUUUACGCUGUGGGGUCCUCCCUGGACAUUUAGUAUGUUGCGAUGAGUCCAAUGUCUGCCUUCAUGGGAGGCAGCUGUAGUUUGGUGUGACCGAGCACCUCGGAGGGGAGGUCCCCAGGCAUGAUGGUCCCAUGCAUGGUGGGGGCACAGAACAGAGUCUGUUCCAAAGGUCUUGGAAGGUCUUCUGGGAGAGGUGACAUUUCCAUGGAGACCUGCAGAUGGACAGGAGAUGGGGGUGGAGAGUACUGUUGCAGGUGUAGGGAAUGGCGUAAAUAGCCAUCGUGAAGGUCUGGAAGUUGAGAGUCCUGAGUGUGUAACAGCUUUUGCAGAAGCCAGUUUUAUUUUUGGUUUACACUCACUGGGCUACCAUUUAGAGGCCACGUGGUCUUGCUUCCGAGAGGCAGAGACUGCCAGGGUGGUCCCGCUCUGGAUACAGCCUCAGCUGUACCGCUUCAUUCUUUUAAUCAACAAAGAUUUAAAUGCGUAUGUCACUCAAACCGGCGAUAUGUUCUUACUAUGUGUGGGAUACUGCUAGGCUGUGAUGACCCCAGUGCUGGUUCCGUCCUCUUGGACGGAGCUGUGGUGGUGUGGCCAGGCAGUCCAGCAGGCCCACCAGUGUCUGUCUGAUCUCAUACUGAGAUCAGCGCUGCAAUGGAGGCUUCAGGGCCGCGUUCAGGAAAACUUCGUAGAAGAAGGACUAUUGGGGGACUCAGUCUGGGCACCUGAAGGCAAGGUAAGGUUGUGGAGAGCUUCCAGUGUCAGACCAGGGAGUCCAGAUCAUCCUUUUAGGGCUUGAAAAACAAUACAAAAUUUUAGAAGCCCAUUGCGUCCAGGGUAAUUGGAGGAAGCAACUGUGAUUUGUUCUCCAGAAAUCUAGAUCAGCUUUUCCAAGGGUGUAUUUUUCCAUCCAUGUUCCUAUCUGCUGGGAGAGUUGACAACUGCCUUCUCUUCCCCGCAAGCCCUGUUUGUGAGAGGAAAAGCCCCAUGAAUCAGAAUUUGUAUACUUAUUUAAGAUGUUAGGAAUUUUUUGUACAAACAUAAUUUUCUUUCAAAAACUUUUUAAAAAAUUGUUUUGAGAGUAUGGGUAACGUAUUCAUAUGGCUCAAACUUGCAACCAGCAUGAAAGAUGGUUUGGGAGAGGGCCUCCUUCUCCUGCCCCUGGAGCCCUCAGACCUCCUCCCUGGAGGCAGCCCGCGCUAGCUGCUGCUUGUGCGCCUUUCUAGAGCACUCUGUGCGGGCGGAAGCGCGUGCCCUCCCUUGCUCUUUCCUGCCAGAGUGGCCCAGCAUGCAUGUUGCUCCCACUCGAAGUGCGCUCCUGACUGAGAAAUACCUCAGAUCUGUUGCAGAUACUAAUAUUUGAAGAGCAGGCUUCAUUCUAAAAAUCCUUUUUUUUAUGGUAAAAUAUUUUGGUGCUGUACUUAACACAAAAUGAUUUCAGUGUUUUCAUUGUACUAUAAAUAGGAAGAAUUGAAGUUUCACAAAAAUUAAUCGAAGACUGUCGGAGAUUUUGCUGCUGUCAUCAUGUUACAUGUCAUGCAACCAGUUCACACCAUGCUCUGUUCCUAGUUUCCCAGGUUCCGGAAGAGAUUCCUAAAACCAGAGGUUUUUAUUAUUCAUCUUAUUAAUUAAUGAUAUACACAUAUCUCUAGCUUAAUAACCUACUUGUACACCAAGCAGAUAAAGUAAAAAUCAGUCUCUUGUUUGGUAGGACUUCUAAGAAUGUUCACAUUAACUCCAGACCUUUAAUUUAGUUAAUUGACCUAGAGAUUGCAAAAAUUAAGGUGACCAAAAGGUCCUUCAGAAGAGGAGUGGCUGAGUCCCCUGCCAUGGCGGUUUGGGGAAGGGAAGCGAUCUUCCCUUCAAAAGGAAGAGAAGUCUGAGGGUUAUUAACUUUAAAAAGGAUGGAAAACAUACAUGAUAAUUAGGUCCUUCUCAGUAGUAAAAAGUGUGUGUACCUAGAUUUCCAGAAGAAAAUCUAUAGAAAUUGUUUUUCUUGGCAGCGGGGAACUGAAGAUGUUUUGGGGGGCUCUCUGCUUUGCACUCUAUAUUCUUCUGAAUGCUUUAAAAAAAUCCAUAAACAACAUACUUUCAUCACAAAACUAGUGAAAGAGUAAAUCAGAUCCAAAGCAAAAAUCUUCGUUUUUGUGGUUAGAAGAAUCUGUUAAAUGGUGACAAGUGGAGUUUUGUUUAGUUCUGUUGCAAAACCUUUAGACCUCUAGCAAGAAUGAUUUGAACAAGUGUAAAUUAACUUAGAGGUGCCAUCCAAAGAUAGGAAAAUGUGAUUGUGUUUUAGUGGCAUGUCCCGUUACCACUUCCUUUGUUACAAGCUCCGAUUCUAACAGAAUCCUUUCAGUUAGAGGUUUCUCCAUUGAUGUUGCUGGAAGCCGCGGGACCUGACAGCACCUAAUGUUUGAAUAUUUCGAACUACUGUCGGCUUCCCCAAUGUGGGCAACAUUUAGCUGUUACAUUGGGUGCACAAUGCUGUAUGUAGAUUGUCACAUUCCUUUAGGAAAAAAACAGCAGUUUUUGAAAAGUCCUUCUUUAACGUACUUUCUCUUUUCCUGCCCUUUAAGCUCAUGUGAACACUAAAACUAUUUUAAACUAAUACUGAGUGCGUUUCAGAUUUCAUCUUCAAACUGCAAACACUCCCAACUGGAAGUGUUCCAGGUGUUAUCAUCUGGGCUGAAUGAAGCUCAUCACCUGGGCCUGGACACCCCAGGGGCUGCCUUUAAAAAAAAUCAAUUUCCUUAAUUACUUAAAUGAAUCGUUCAUUCACAGGGUUCAAAAAUCAGAGGAGGACACAAAGCUGUAGAGUGAAACUUCCCUCCCUCCCUCCACCUAGUGCCCCCAGGUAACCACUGUGAGUAGAUUGUGCGCCCCUCCAGCGUUCCUCUCUUCAAGCAGACGCUGUCUAUUCCUGACUCCCUUGCCCCCUUCCUGCUUUUUCUUGUUCCUGGAGGUAGCAUACUGUACACACUGUUGCACACCUGUACAUAGCAGCAUGUGGAGAGCUUCAUUAUCUCUUUCCAUAGUUGCUGGUAUCCAUUAUAUGAGAUGUGCCAUAAUUGGUUUAAUCUGCUCCCCACGGAUGGACAUUUAGGUUAUUUCCAAUCCUGUUCUCGCACAAACAGUGCUUUAAUGAAUAGCCAUGCACAAUUACGUGUAUAUCUAUAGAACAGAUACCUAAAAAGAGAAUAAAGGGUUAAAAGGAAUAUGCAUUUGUAAUUUUGAUCAUAUCAUCAAAUUGUCCUCCCCAGUGCUUAUAUGUUGGUGGAUUCUUAAAGCUUGAAAAGCAGCACACUUAUAUCCAGCAUAGACCUCACUGGGUAUUUUGGGUAUAUUAUUUAUUAAAUAUAGUCUAGUUGACGGAUACUCAAGUUGUUCUUCAGCUUGUGGUUCUCCAUCAUUUUGUACCUCUUAGUCGCUUGCGAUUUAUCUAUAAUUCUAUGGUGUUUUUUCCCCGUUAAGACUUUUUUUAGAGCAGUUUCAGAUUUCAUGGUAAAAUUGAGGGGAGGGUGCAGAGAUUUUCCACACACACCCUGCCCCCACAUGCACAGCCUUCCCCAUUAUGGGCACUCCCACUAGAGUGUGUUAUACUUGAUAAACCUACAUGGACACAUCAUCAUCAGUUUACCUUAGGGUUCACUCUUGGUGUUGUACAGUUCUGUGUUUGGACAAAUGUAUCAUGAUAUGUAUCCAUCAUUAUAUUAUACCGAAUAUGUUCCCUGUGCUAAAAACCCCCUGGACUCCACCUGUCCAAACCCCCCCCCCCGCCCCCCCGCAGCUGCUGACCUUUUUACUGUCUCCGUAGUUUUGCCUUUUCCAGAAUGUCCAAUAGUUGGGACCACGCAGUCUGUAGCCUUUUCAGAUUGGCUUCUUCCACUUAGUAUUAUACACAUAAGGUUCCUCCAUGUCUUUUUGUGGCCUGAGAGCUCAUUUCUUUCUAGUGCUGAAUAAUACUCCAUUGUCUGGAUGUUGGUGUACUUUUUGGACUUAAUGGAUUUACUUCCUGUUAUGGGUGUUCCUAUAGUCCACAUAUAAGCCCACUUUUAUUUGCUGUACAGUGACACCGCAAGUUCAGACAGCAGUAUUUCCCCCUUCCUCCUGACUCGGUGUUGCUGCCUGCUGGCCACAGCUGCCAACAUUUGGGCCAAAGGACCUGGUCUCUGGGCAUCCUUUGCUUGUUCUCACGCGGUACCCAAGUAGUCUGAGGUGGCCUGGGGUAGUUUCUGCAGAGGUUAGAUCCUAGCCCAGCUGCCAACAUUCCUCCUCCUCUAGGACUUCGGAGUAGCACAGUGGAUGGGUAGCUGAUUCCAGCCCCUCACCUGGGUCUCUGUGACCCCUUGGCCGUGGUGGUGGAGAACAGUGAAACCCUUUCUGCUCCCUCGGCUCCAGACCAUCUGGUUACCGUUUGGGGGCCACUGAGUGAAUUACGGUUGGUCUGGUGGUGGCUUGCUGCUGUGACCACAUCUUCUGUCCCACCUUUGUCUUACAAAGCCUUCAAAAUCUCCACCCUUCACGGCUGAGGGAGACAGCACACAAACCACAUUUAAGAAACUUAAAAUUGUCCUAGCUCUCUGGGAAUGGCACUUCCCUGGAACUUGUAAGUGUGUGGAGUGAGGGUAGGAGGCUGGCUGUGAUUCCAGGACUCUGGUGAUUCAGGCCCAGGGUGACAGGACUUGCGGUCAGGACUGUCUUGGGUUCCUUAAGUGAAAGGUAAAUAGCAAACAUUCAGGGAAGCAAGAUUUCUCCAUCUCUGAAGCACAGCAACCAUGAAAUUCAUUUGUGAAUGAGAAAAAAAAUGCUCGAAUUUUAAUAGUAAAUGAUGAUCCAAAGUAGACUUUAGCCUUCUUGGGUAGACUUAUUGUAUAGAGGGCAUUUUUAUAAACCAGGUUUUUCCCUUCUGACUUACAUCACAGUUUCUAAAGUAGUGUAGUUUUAUUUCAGUUAGUUUCAUCUCCUGCAGUAGCCUGCUGUCCUUCCCCUCACUUCAGACAAUAUAGUUGUUGGUGUUUAAAUAUUUAAAGGUACUUACUGACAGGUUACCAUCUAAAAGAGUCCCCCUGGAUGGAUCCUUUGGUACAGGAAUAUUUGUCCCAUAAAUUAGCUAUAAAUUUGGGUUUAAUAAAUUAUAACUCUCAACACAACACUUAGAGAAUAGAAUUUAGGUUUUUAUUUUUUUUUGUUUGGGGCUUUUUCUUUUUUUUUUUUGGUCAUAUGCUGUGCAUGAUGAGUGAUUUUUUUUAAAAGACAUUAACAACGGAUCUUCCCCAAGAAGGCCUUUCUUCAUUUAAAGUGUUCUGGUGGGGUCCCUCCCUCCUGAAUCACAUCCACACACCUGCAGAGGGAAGCCCACCAUGUUGGAGUUAAAACCCACCACAAGCAAAGUGGCCAGCUUGUUCUGUCUGCUCAGCUCCCUUCUUCCACCCCGUCCAUGUGCAGUGUUCCUUUCUCAGCGUCUUUUCCUUCUAAAGAUCUGCUCAGAGUUUGCCUCUCAUCAGCCGCCUUUGCCACUUGCUUGUAAAAUCCGGUAUCUGUGUGUUAGCAGUUUCAGUUUGUGACUUGGUGUCCAUGACCUGUCUUCCUCAAUUAGAUUAGAAUCCUCUGGGGGGCAGACUUUUAUUCGAGUCUCAGAUAAGCCCAGUUGUCCCUGCAGGGAGUGAAGUCCCGAGAGCGAGGACACGUGCCCACUCUAGGAAGGCCCCAGAGGAGGCAGAUCGCUCAGCCACGUCUGCUCUGGCUCUUGAGUGGAUAGUGAUUCUGAGGAGAGGCAGGACUUUUUGUUCAGUAUAAGAUCACUGUUCAGAAUGAAGUAAAACAUUAUUCUGUAGUAAUUAGGGGGUAGUGUGUCUGCAUAAAAAGCUUGAAUUGCAGAAGAUUUAAGAAGGAAUUUAUUUUAAUUAUUUCCUAAUAGUCAUUGUAAAAAAAAAAAAAAGUUAGAUGUCUUUUGGGAACUUGUUUAAAUGCCUAGAUAAAAAUUGUUUGUGGUGUGCCGGGUGGCUCAAUCUGUUGAGAGUUUGACUCUUGAUUUUGGCUCAGGUCAUGUUCUUAGGGUCGUGAGAUCAAGCCCCACAUUGGGCUCUGCCCUGGGCAGGAAGCCUGCUUGGGGUUCUGUCUCUCCCUCUCCCUCUGUCCCUUUCCCCCUCCAGAAUUAUUUGUAAUGGCCUAAAUGCUAAGAAAACAGUGUUCUGUUCUUUUUCUUUUUCUUUUCCUUUUUUUUUUUUUUUUUUUUAAGAUUUUUAUUUAUUUGAGACAGAGUGAGACAGCAAGCAAGAGAGCACAAGCAGGGGGAGCGGCAGAGAGAGAGAGGGACAAGCAGACUCCUCACUGAGCAGGGAGCCGGAUGUGGGCCUUGAUCCCAGAACCCCUGGGUCAUGACCUGAGCCAAAGGCAGGCGCCUUGCUUUUCCUUUUAAAAAUGUUUUAAUUCUGCAUUGCUGGAGAGUUGUCCCGUUAUUUAUUUGCACAAUCCCCACGAAUUUUCAAAGCAGAGUAAGCUUUACUUCUACUAGCAUUGUCACAAAUUAUUAGGACUUUACCUUAGAGAAGUGACAGUCACUGGGCAUGAACCCUGUACCAGGGGUGCCUGGUCCUUGAUGGGCAUGUAUCGGUCAGCCCGCAUAGCAACCUUGGAAGAUGGUGCUGUGACAGAUAGUGACUGAUAUGUAUUGAGUCCUUACUGCAUGCCAGGCUAAGUACUAUGUACACACGGUAUGAUUUCAUUUUUUCCUCAGUGAGCCUAGAGGCAGCUACUAUUUUCAUUUCCGUUUUAGAGCUGAGCAAACACGUCAGGAGGUGUAGUCGGAGUGACAGAGAGGGGCUUGAAUCAAGACCAGGCUGUGGUUCCUGUGUUAAUUCAUUCACCUCUUCAGGGUGGAGAUCUUCGUGGAGAGCCCAAUCCCUCUUUCAUGGUCCUUACAGCCUUGUGAGUUAUAACUGAGAGUUGAUACAUGAUUUUAAGUCUCACUCAUUAUGUCUGCAAAGUGUAGAAGAGUUCCUACUUCUGGCCAAUACAAGAUUUGAUAAACUAGUUUGUACACAUUGGGACAGAAAAAUCAGUUCUGUGCCAGUCAGAGAAUUUAGGGCCUCAGUUGUCAUUCAAAGAAAAAAAGUAAAGUAAUAUGAGAGAAAGAGGAGAUGUUAGAAAACCUAAGGAAAGAUGUGUUUUAGGGAUGACUUGCUUAGCUGCAUUUGAACAGACUCUUUCAUAUGUUACAGGCCGGGCAGAUGGACUCAGCCACUUACCUGCUAUUCGAUUUGUAAAAUGGAGAGCUUUUUUCAGAGUACCUGAUAGUAAUUCAUCCCUUGUUUAAGGUGAAAUAUGGACUUCUGAUAACGAUGGCUAAGAAUGGAUCUUAGAACAUGUGUAGGAUGCCUUGUCUUUCGGUGUUGAGAGGGGAUUGUUUCCUGGAGCGAGAUUUCUCUAAGCAGUCCAGAAGUGAUCCCUUGUGAUCGUGCUUGAUGAAGACCUUCUGUGCCGUGGGUGCCCCAGCCUUGUAGGAGUGUGACAGAGACUGGGAAACCGGUAGCUACUUUUUUUCCACCUCCGCUUAAUGAAAGGGACGGACUCUGGGUUGGCGGCCAAAGAGCCCCAAAAGAGAGAAAAUUCCUGGUGGCUGCGGAAGCAUGACAGGCUGUGUGUGCUGUGUGAUUGGGAUGUCUCCUGCCAAGGCUGAGCCCCUAGAAAGCUGGGUCCCACGAAUCUUGUUCAGCCUCAGCUCUGCUCCCUCCUGGGGCCGCUGGUGACUUGGUGGAGGAAAGGGAAACUACCUGGGAUUGGAAGUGGUGAUGCUCAAUCUUGAAUCUUCAGAACUUGUGGUGAUUCAGAUUGGUAUUGCCUAACCUGUGUGUUGGGACACUUUGGUGUGUAGAAAGCAUCACUCUGUAUGUUGCAAUAUCCUGGCUUUCCUUCUUCAUUUUCCUUUGUCCGUUUUGUGAGCCAGAGAAUAUGUGCGUGGAGACAGUCACAGGGAGAAGAGGGGCGGCACUGUGAGCGGGGAUGGCCCUCUGCACACCCUGCCCAGCCCACCUUGUCUUACAAAGACGCUCCCUGUGGAUUUGCUUGUGGACGCGUGCACAUGUGGUUGGACUGAUAGGUAAGGACGUAAGCAGAAUUAGUCCCUUCUUUCCACAACCAAACAGCUGUGAGAUGUGUUUGGACUGAAACAGGGUGAGAAAAGUGAUCGAGGUGGCCAAAGUGUGGUGGAGCAGCACAAACCAAACUGAGCCCAAGACAUACCACCCAUGACAGCAGUCAGAGUCGCAUGUGCGUGUGGGGUGGAGCUCCAGUAAACCACUAAGAAAAACCACACGGGUAAAUUUGAGAGUGGUGGAAUGGUGGGUGGAUUUUUAAAGGUAAGAAAUUUUAUAGUUUGUGUGCUAGAGUAUGAUAGCCUGUUCCAGCUUUCAUCGUGUAGCUGGGCUCUUAUCCCUGUUUCGCGGUUGGGGGAAGUAUGAUCCAGAGGUUGAACAGUUUGUUCAGGGACGUGGGGCUGGCUGAUUGAGCCAGGAUUUGAGUGCCUGUGUUCCACUUGCAGGUGUGCCUUUUCCUUCCUCAGUUCCAGUUCCCACACUGGAAUCGGGGACCUGGUCUCUGACACUGUGUAACUGUUCAUUUGGGUUUACCUGCUCUUGUCCUGGCCCAGUCGCCCUCUCUUCGGGAGAGUGCUUCGAGACACUGGGAAGAGCCAAUUGGGGCUUCGGCAGGUUGUUCCAAACUAAGUAUUUGGAGUUCAUUUCCUUCUAACGAUUUACAGUGCUUGACACCGGCUCUUCAUCCUCUCCCGGGCAAAUAGAAAGGAAACUCGGUCUCUGUCUUAAUGGCUCUUGUUGCUAGUUUAGAUGAAGUUUCAUUUUCAUGUUCAUAGAUUAAGGAGCAUUGCAUUAAUUAAAUGCACACACCGGGGUUUUGUUUUGUUAUAAGAAUACUGAGUAGGGGUGCCUGGCUGGCUCAGCUGGUAGAGCGUGUGACUCUUGAUCUUGGGGUCAUGAGUUCGAGCCCCAUGUUGGUUGUAGAGAUGACUUAAAACCUUUUUAAAAAGAAAGAAAGGAUACUGAGUAAAAAUGUGCGUGUGUGUGGACAGAGUCUGGAAGGCAACAGAAACAUCAGUUAUGUUGGAGAGUUGGUUUUUUUACUUUAUUUCGUGUGUUCUUCCCGCCCCCGCCUGCAAUUUGUUCUUUUUAUCUGGAGACCUUAGUGGAUCUCGACAUUCAGGACAGCACAGUGCCAUAGAAGCUAUGGAAUGGACCCCACAAAACCACGUUGAGAUGCAGAAGCUGGGUAGUUGGCAGCAAAAACCCUGAUCCGUGGCUGUGUCUCAGCUGUCUGCCGUAUCCAGGAGUUGUGUGUCUCUUCAUAAUUACGUGUCCUGUAAUCAGGAGGAAGCAACCCCAAAUUGAGGGAUAUUCUACAAAACAACUGGCCUGUCCUCUUCAAAAAUGUCACAGUUAGGAAAGACCAAGUCUGAGGAACCUUUCUAGACAAAAGGAAAAGACCGAGACAUGACAGCUAGGUGCACUGGGGUCCUGAACUGGAUUUUAGACCAGGAAAAUAAAUGUAAUAAAGGGCAAUAUUGAGACAACUGGCUAAAUUUGAAUAUUGUAUCAGUGUUAAAUUUACCAAAUUUGAUAAAUGUGCUGUGAUUUUGUACAAGGGUGUUCUUAGGAGAUGCAUGGUCAAGUACUUGGGAGGAAAGACUCAUGCUGUCUGCAACUUACUCUCACAGGUUUUAUAAAAAUCUUUGUGUGUGUGUGUAUGUGUGUGUGUGUACAGUUGCAAGUAAUUCCUAAGUCCUUAUAGUUGGGUAGGAUGAAAUAAGUAUAUGUUAGUUAGAGGUGGUUUACUAGGCAUAUAUGUACAGAGAACUUUGGAGGCUGAAAACAGGGACUGGUCUGUUCUGGGGUAGCCCGAAGACAGUCUUCGUAGUCACUGCGUUUAAUCUGAGUGAGAGGUAGGGGCAUGGUUUUCUAGACAGAGAACAUCCAGGAGAAGGAUUUCUGUUGCACGUGACCGCUCACUCUUGUGGCUGGAAGGUAGGGUGCAUCAGAAGGUGCCAGGGGAGGGGUGCCUGCGUGGCUCAGUCGUUAGGCGUCUGCCUUCGGCCCAGGUCAUGAUCCCAGGGUCCUGGGAUUGAGCCCCACAUCAGGCUCCCUGCUCCGCAGGAAGCCUGCUUCUCCCUCUCCCACUCCCCUUGCUUGUGUUCCUGCUCUUGCUCGCUCUCUGUCAAAUAAAUAAAAUCUUUAAAAAAAAAAAAAAAGUGCCAGGGGAAAGAAGGGCUGAGAAGUGGUCAGGGUCCACAUUCUGAUGGCCUUGUAUGCCUUACAAAGGAAGUUUGAACUUCAUCGGGUGACAUUAAACUUUGGCUAGAAUGGCUUAAAUGACAGGAAAUGCAUUUUCUCCCAUAAUGAGAAAUCUGAAGGUAGGGAGGCUCCCGGGUUGGAUAACUGAGCUCAGAGAUGGCUUCACGACCCCAGCGUUAGCUUUUGCUGCAGUCAUCCUUGGUGUGUG